rnacentral:rRNA from 1 species
GGUCUGUCAAGUCGGAUGUGAAAUCCCCGGGCUCAACCUGGGAACUGCAUUCGAAACUGGCAGGCUUGAGUCUUGUAGAGGGGGGUAGAAUUCCAGGUGUAGCGGUGAAAUGCGUAGAGAUCUGGAGGAAUACCGGUGGCGAAGGCGGCCCCCUGGACAAAGACUGACGCUCAGGUGCGAAAGCGUGGGGAGCAAACAGGAUUAGAUACCCUGGUAGUCCACGCCGUAAACGAUGUCUACUUGGAGGUUGUGCCCUUGAGGCGUGGCUUCCGGAGCUAACGCGUUAAGUAGACCGCCUGGGGAGUACGGCCGCAAGGUUAAAACUCAAAUGAAUUGACGGGGGCCCGCACAAGCGGUGGAGCAUGUGGUUUAAUUCGAUGCAACGCGAAGAACCUUACCUGGUCUUGACAUCCACAGAACCCUGUAGAGAUACGGGGGUGCCUUCGGGAACUGUGAGACAGGUGCUGCAUGGCUGUCGUCAGCUCGUGUUGUGAAAUGUUGGGUUAAGUCCCGCAACGAGCGCAACCCUUAUCCUUUGUUGCCAGCGGUCCGGCCGGGAACUCAAAGGAGACUGCCAGUGAUAAACUGGAGGAAGGUGGGGAUGACGUCAAGUCAUCAUGGCCCUUACGACCAGGGCUACACACGUGCUACAAUGGCGCAUACAAAGAGAAGCGACCUCGCGAGAGCAAGCGGACCUCAUAAAGUGCGUCGUAGUCCGGACUGGAGUCUGCAACUCGACUCCAUGAAGUCGGAAUCGCUAGUAAUCGUGGAUCAGAAUGCCACGGUGAAUACGUUCCCGGGCCUUGUACACACCGCCCGUCACACCAUGGGAGUGGGUUGCAAAAGAAGUAGGUAGCUUAACCUUCGGGAGGGCGCUUACCACUUUGUGAUUCAUGACUGGGGUGAAGUCGUAACAAGGUAACCGUAGGGGAACCUGCGGUUGGA